rnacentral:tRNA from 1 species
UCCCUGGUGGUCCAGUGGCUAAGACUGUGCUCCCAUUGCAGGGGUCCAGGUUCAAUUCCUGGUCAGGGAA